GACGAACGCUGGCGGCGUGCCUAAUACAUGCAAGUAGAACGCUGAAGGAGGAGCUUGCUUCUCUGGAUGAGUUGCGAACGGGUGAGUAACGCGUAGUAACCUGCCUGGUAGCGGGGGAUAACUAUUGGAAACGAUAGCUAAUACCGCAUAAGAGUAGAUGUUGCAUGACAUUUGCUUAAAAGGUGCAAUUGCAUCACUACCAGAUGGACCUGCGUUGUAUUAGCUAGUUGGUGGGGUAACGGCUUACCAAGGCGACGAUACAUAGCCGACCUGAGAGGGUGAUCGGCCACACUGGGACUGAGACACGGCCCAGACUCCUACGGGAGGCAGCAGUAGGGAAUCUUCGGCAAUGGACGGAAGUCUGACCGAGCAACGCCGCGUGAGUGAAGAAGGUUUUCGGAUCGUAAAGCUCUGUUGUAAGAGAAGAACGAGUGUGAGAGUGGAAAGUUCACACUGUGACGGUAUCUUACCAGAAAGGGACGGCUAACUACGUG
rnacentral:rRNA from 1 species